GGUUGUAGCUCAGUGGUAGAGUGCUUGCCUAGCAUAUGUUGAGGCACUGAAUUUGAUUCUCAAUACCACAAAUAAAUAAAUAACCAUCAACAACUAAUAAAAUAUUUAAAAAAAAAAGAAGCCUGGGGGAUGUGGCUCAGUGGUCGAGUGCCCCUGAGUUCAAUCCUCAGUACCA
rnacentral:tRNA from 1 species